AUUAGCUAGUUGGUGAGGUAACGGCUCACCAAGGCGACGAUGCGCAGCCGACCUGAGAGGGUGAUCGGCCACAUUGGAACUGAGACACGGUCCAGACUCCUACGGGAGGCAGCAGUGGGGAAUAUUGCACAAUGGGCGAAAGCCUGAUGCAGCAACGCCGCGUGAGUGAUGACGGCCUUCGGGUCGUAAAGCUCUGUCUUUUGGGACGAUACUGACGGUACCAAAGGAGGAAGCCACGGCUAACUACGUGCCAGCAGCCGCGGUAAUACGUAGGUGGCAAGCGUUGUCCGGAUUUACUGGGCGUAAAGGAUGCGUAGGUGGAUAUUUAAGUGGGAUGUGAAAUACCCGGGCUCAACUUGGGUGCUGCAUUCCAAACUGGAUAUCUAGAGUGCAGGAGAGGUAAGUGGAAUUCCUAGUGUAGCGGUGAAAUGCGUAGAGAUUAGGAAGAACACCAGUGGCGAAGGCGACUUACUGGACUGUAACUGACACUGAGGCAUGAAAGCGUGGGGAGCAAACAGGAUUAGAUACCCUGGUAGUCCACGCCGU
rnacentral:rRNA from 1 species